rnacentral:ncRNA from 1 species
CAAAAGUUUGGUCCUGACUUUACUAUCAAUUGUAGCUAAACUUACACAUGCAAGUAUCAGCACCCCCGUGAGAAUGCCCUGCAGUUUCCUUUUAGGAAACAAGGAGCCGGUAUCAGGCACAAACUAUUAGCCCACAACACCUUGCUUUGCCACACCCUCAAGGGAAUUCAGCAGUGAUAAAUAUUAAGCAAUAAGUGAAAACUUGACUUAGUUAAAGCUAAAUAAAGCCGGUAAAACUCGUGCCAGCCACCGCGGUUAGACGAGAGGCUUAAAUUGAUAAUUAUCGGCGUAAAGCGUGGUUAAGAAUAAUACAUACUAAAGUCGAAUCAUUUCUAAGCUGUUAUACGCACUCGAAAGUAGGAAGAACUAUUACGAAAGUAACUUUAAUACAUCUGACUCCACGAAAGCUGUGAAACAAACUGGGAUUAGAUACCCCACUAUGCACAGCCCUAAACUAUGACAGUAUUUACACCAACUGUUCGCCAGGGUACUACAAGCUCUAGCUUAAAAUCCAAAGGACUUGGCGGUGCUUUAGAUCCACCUAGAGGAGCCUGUUCUAGAACCGAUAACCCCCGUUCAACCUCACCCUUUCUUGUUUAUCCCGCCUAUAUACCGCCGUCGUCAGCUUACCCUGUGAAGGAUCUAUAGUAAGCAAAACCAGUAAAACUAAAAACGUCAGGUCGAGGUGUAGCAUAUGAAAGGGGAAGAAAUGGGCUACAUUCCCUAAAUAGGGUAUACGAAAAAUAUGAUGAAAAGCACAUUAGAAGGAGGAUUUAGCAGUAAGUAGAAAAUAGAGUGUUCUACUGAAACUUGGCUCUGAAGCGCGCACACACCGCCCGUCACUCUCCCCCAAAAACAAAGAAAAUAACUAAUACAUUAACAAAAUAAAGGGGAGGCAAGUCGUAACAUGGUAAGUGUACCGGAAGGUGCACUUGGUUUAU